rnacentral:rRNA from 1 species
GAGUUUGAUCCUGGCUCAGGACGAACGCUGGCGGCGUGCUUAACACAUGCAAGUCGAACGAUGAUGCCCAGCUUGCUGGGCGGAUUAGUGGCGAACGGGUGAGUAAUACGUGAGUAACCUGCCCUUGACUCUGGGAUAAGCCUGGGAAACUGGGUCUAAUACUGGAUACUACCUCUUACCGCAUGGUGGGUGGUGGAAAGGGUUUUACUGGUUUUGGACGGGCUCACGGCCUAUCAGCUUGUUGGUGGGGUAAUGGCUCACCAAGGCGACGACGGGUAGCCGGCCUGAGAGGGUGACCGGCCACACUGGGACUGAGACACGGCCCAGACUCCUACGGGAGGCAGCAGUGGGGAAUAUUGCACAAUGGGCAGAAGCCUGAUGCAGCGACGCCGCGUGAGGGAUGACGGCCUUCGGGUUGUAAACCUCUUUCAGUAGGGAAGAAGCGAGAGUGACGGUACCUGCAGAAGAAGCGCCGGCUAACUACGUGCCAGCAGCCGCGGUAAUACGUAGGGCGCAAGCGUUGUCCGGAAUUAUUGGGCGUAAAGAGCUCGUAGGCGGUUUGUCGCGUCUGCUGUGAAAGCCCGGGGCUCAACCCCGGGUCUGCAGUGGGUACGGGCAGACUAGAGUGCAGUAGGGGAGACUGGAAUUCCUGGUGUAGCGGUGAAAUGCGCAGAUAUCAGGAGGAACACCGAUGGCGAAGGCAGGUCUCUGGGCUGUUACUGACGCUGAGGAGCGAAAGCAUGGGGAGCGAACAGGAUUAGAUACCCCGGUAGUCCAUGCCGUAAACGUUGGGCACUAGGUGUGGGGGACAUUCCACGUUUUCCGCGCCGUAGCUAACGCAUUAAGUGCCCCGCCUGGGGAGUACGGCCGCAAGGCUAAAACUCAAAGGAAUUGACGGGGGCCCGCACAAGCGGCGGAGCAUGCGGAUUAAUUCGAUGCAACGCGAAGAACCUUACCAAGGCUUGACAUUCACCGGACCGCCCCAGAGAUGGGGUUUCCCUUCGGGGCUGGUGGACAGGUGGUGCAUGGUUGUCGUCAGCUCGUGUCGUGGGAUGUUGGGUUAAGUCCCGCAACGAGCGCAACCCUCGUUCUAUGUUGCCAGCACGUGAUGGUGGGGACUCAUAGGAGACUGCCGGGGUCAACUCGGAGGAAGGUGGGGAUGACGUCAAAUCAUCAUGCCCCUUAUGUCUUGGGCUUCACGCAUGCUACAAUGGCCGGUACAAAGGGUUGCGAUACUGUGAGGUGGAGCUAAUCCCAAAAAGCCGGUCUCAGUUCGGAUUGAGGUCUGCAACUCGACCUCAUGAAGUCGGAGUCGCUAGUAAUCGCAGAUCAGCAACGCUGCGGUGAAUACGUUCCCGGGCCCCUUGUACACACCGCCCGUC